ACAGGGUUACAGGCAACCAUGUCAGAUAAACCAAGAUUGUAAUCUAUAAACAAGUACUAAUUUAAAAGCAAUUUCACAACUGCAUAGCUGACUGAACUGUUCCCCAUAAGGAAUUUGUUCACCAAAUUGCCAGCCCUCCCUUUCUGAAGAAAAGCUUCAAAAGAAGGCAAACAUUUUUUUCUGAACCUCCCCUGCACUUGUUGUUUUUUAAUUGAAAAAAAAAAACAACUUUCAUUACCAGGGGAAGGCCUUUGGGUGUUUACAUGCUGUUCUUAGAAGGAGUUCAGGCAAUGGUUCAAUAUUCUGAAUCUUAAGAUUCAAGGCUUGUUCUUGGUUAACAUUCCAUGGUAUGUUUUCUGCUCUUUGAAAAAAACAAAACAAAUAUAAGCACUUUCUAAGAGAUACACAUGGGUCAAUAGCUAUCUUGCUGCAGGAAUAAAAAUUUACCAUCUCUCCCAACCCAAGUUCGGUGUGGCUUCCUACCUUCUUUCAGUUUCACAAAGUCAUUUUUAAAGUUCUUUUUAGAUAAAGGUACUGUAAUUCAGCAGUAAGUGGGCUCAAGAAAAAAUAAUUGUUUUAUUGCCUUUUGAAAUUGAAAGCGUGCAUUUUUCUUGGUGUUUUGAUAUUGAGCGGGUUGGCAAGUUAAUUUAUUUGUUGCUUUUUUAAAUAAAGAACAUUAUUUUGUUUGGAAAAAAGGGCAUGCCAGGUUGGCAUUUUAAAAAAAAUAAUGUUAAUCCUUUCAAUAUAGGCAUUUAUUAGAACUGUUGAAGACAGACAUAAUCUCUAAAAAGAAGUCAUCUUUCACAUAAGCUCCGCUGGAAUCUUGCCAGUGACAUAUUUAUUGCAUAUGUGUAUGUCUUUUUGUUUUGUUUUGUUUUCAGUACUGCCUACCUCUUUUGGGAACUUGAGAACUAUCCAAGUAUCCUCAUCCAUGAUACUAACAUGGCCAUGCUGCCAACUGGCAUUUCUGUGGUGUCCAGAUGGCACGGUGAACAAGGAGAAACAGUUCCAUCAUGCCUCAGUCCAAUUCCCCUUUUACCUGAGUAUUAUAUUUCAACUACUGUGUACAUUUUAUUACUGGAGUCUAAACCAUCAGAAUUUCUGAAGACGGAUGCCAGCAAAGAGAUUUUUAUCUUGACAGGAACAGCAGUAAGAUGAUGAGUGUCUUCCUGACACUCCUCAAAGAGACAAUAAUAAGGCCUGAGAGAAGCACCAUAACAGAACAAUUUUACCUCUUUUAAUCUAUUGUGAGUAACAUUCUCAAACUUCAAGGUUGUCGCUCCUAGAUAAGUUGCAUGGAUGGAUUCCAAAAUCAGGUUUGUUAUUAACUUUCCAAAGAGAAGACAAUUUGUCCUUCUAAGC
rnacentral:lncRNA from 11 species